UCCUUUUCUGUAUUUUAUUUUAACUUAGUUAUCACAAAGUCAUUUUAUGAGCUACAGACACAUAUGAUGACGCAUCAUGUGAAGGGGUAUUUCAGUAUAACAUUGCUCUGAUCUUUCAAAUAUUGACCAGAGAGUCAUAAAGUUACAUCGCACCUGGAUGAUGGGUGGAGUCAGACGUUUAAAAGUGUCUUCUGAGACUUGCAUGCUCAGAGAAGACGGAAUAGUUUGCCAGCUACUACUGAGAAAAGAUUUGAGCUACAAUGCCAGCGCCUGGUGUGUGUUUAAACAUCUUAUCGGAGCGUAAUCUCAGAGAUGGACAGGGAUCUCUCAACAAUCCUGAGAAGCACCUGGAUCAGGACUUUCACCAGCUCAAGCAGUUCUGCCUGAAAGAAAGAAUGAGAUUCGUAGACAACUUGUUCCCGCCAGAGAUGAAAUCGAUCGGUAUGGGAUCCCUGCACCGUGAAGAUCUUAAGAGAGUGGUGUGGAGGAGACCACAUGAACUGGUCCCAAACCCUCUUUACAUGGUUAAAGAAACGUCAAGGUUUGAUAUCAUACAAGGUGUAUUGGGUAGGUAUGCUUUGCUGUUUAUCAUUAACUCCUUAUAAACUUUGCAAAUGAAGAGCUGCACGCAAUAAAUCAGUCAAACAGGCAUGUGGGAAAAAUAAAAAGUAAAUAAAGACAUUUUAAAGAAAUUAGUUACAAAAGCAAGCUUGUUUAUUCGUCAGAUAUGGGGAAAUGUAACAUUCUAUCACUUGCUCACCGACGGAU